CAUGCAAGUCGAGCGGUAGAGAGAAGCUUGCUUCUCUUGAGAGCGGCGGACGGGUGAGUAAUGCCUAGGAAUCUGCCUGGUAGUGGGGGAUAACGUUCGGAAACGAACGCUAAUACCGCAUACGUCCUACGGGAGAAAGCAGGGGACCUUCGGGCCUUGCGCUAUCAGAUGAGCCUAGGUCGGAUUAGCUAGUUGGUGAGGUAAUGGCUCACCAAGGCGACGAUCCGUAACUGGUCUGAGAGGAUGAUCAGUCACACUGGAACUGAGACACGGUCCAGACUCCUACGGGAGGCAGCAGUGGGGAAUAUUGGACAAUGGGCGAAAGCCUGAUCCAGCCAUGCCGCGUGUGUGAAGAAGGUCUUCGGAUUGUAAAGCACUUUAAGUUGGGAGGAAGGGCAGUUACCUAAUACGUAAUUGUUUUGACGUUACCGACAGAAUAAGCACCGGCUAACUCUGUGCCAGCAGCCGCGGUAAUACAGAGGGUGCAAGCGUUAAUCGGAAUUACUGGGCGUAAAGCGCGCGUAGGUGGUUUGUUAAGUUGAAUGUGAAAUCCCCGGGCUCAACCUGGGAACUGCAUCCAAAACUGGCAAGCUAGAGUAUGGUAGAGGGUGGUGGAAUUUCCUGUGUAGCGGUGAAAUGCGUAGAUAUAGGAAGGAACACCAGUGGCGAAGGCGACCACCUGGACUGAUACUGACACUGAG
rnacentral:rRNA from 1 species